UCCUUAAUCGGGAGACCGUAUGACAGCUAACUCUGAAACAGAAGUAAGAGGAAAAAGUUGUCCACUCCCAGGUCGGUCGUGGGAGUCAAAAAGGCUUUUCCACCUAGGUUUGGGGAACCUGGGCUAUUAGCUCAGCUGGUUAGAGCGCACCCCUGAUAAGGGUGAGGUCCCUGGUUCAAGUCCAGGAUGGCCCAUUUCCCUGGGGGUAUAGCUCAGCUGGUAGAGCACCUGCCUUGCACGCAGGGAGUCAGCGGUUCGAGUCCGCUUACCUCCAUCUCCAUAGUCAGGAGAAGACCAAGCAACGUCAGCACCGUUACAGGAGUAGCGACUGCUGGACGAUUGUCCAGACCAGAACCUUGAAAACUGCAUAGUCACCAAAAAGUCAAAACCGAGGUCAAGCUACAAAGAGCUAACGGUGG
rnacentral:tRNA from 1 species